UGUGACGCCUGCGUUUUGGCGCAUCAUGUCGGAUCUGCCAAAAACGCAUUUAGAUCGGCCGUGUAGUUAUACCCCAAAAAUGUAUUUGUACUGAAACGCAAGGAAAGAACCUGCCUUUUACGCAAUAUUACUGCAACUGGAAGCAAGUGACAAAGCAAUCAAUACUGCCUAGCUAUUAUAAGUAAUUAACACACACAGGAGAUGUCCCCUUUAAAUAAAAAUGUUUACUGUAUAUACUAUGAGGAGAUGGCAUAAUGCCAAAUUAUCAUGAACAUGGCAGUGGGUUAUCAAUAACUUUUGGGAAUAAGAAGCUUUAAUCCUGGGAACAAUGUGAUUACAGAGUGUAUAGAUGCAGCAGUAAUUGUGACCGCACGUAUAAGGGGUUAAAUCACAGUCGUACAGUUAUUUAUGUGCUUACACUACCCAUAUCCUACAUGAACAAACAUGUAGGAUAUGGAUUUUAUAUGUAGGGAAGACGGCAACCUUAACAUGAGCGCUUUUUCUUGCAGGGUAUCCGCACAUCUAUGAAGAAAUGAAACCUGUUUGCCAACAGUCAGAGAGAAUGAGGCGUUAACCCUUCCAUAGAGAGACUGUGAGGAUGCUCUGGGCCUGUCACAGCACUUCGGACUGUACCAUCUGUUGAGGCUCUCCACCCAUGAGUACAAUAUGGAGAGGAAGGACCUCAUUUUAGGCUCUGCCAGGAUCCCAUCUGCUAACAACCAACCCCACCCAAAGUCAAGCCAGAAAAAGACUACUUCUGGCUUUAAUAUAUAAAAGCAAUUACAGUGACAAUAUAUCUGCAGGACAAUACAAAUCUAUAAAAUAAAUAUACAUAAACCAUC